ensembl:lncRNA
AUGGAUAGAGAGUAUUCUGAUGCUGGAUAUAAUACCUCCAAUGGGAUGGAGCUUCAUGCUGAGGAGGAGUUUGACAGCAUUGCCCUAAACCCCAGUUCUGAUGGGCUUGAAACCAGGGGAGAAUGUGAUGGCUUUGAAAUUAGUGUGCCCGCCUGCUCUGAAUCUAGUCACACAAAUUAUCCGCCAGGUGAUCUAGCUGAUCAGAACUCUUACUUUACACGUCCCGAGUCCAAUUAUGCCGAGAACCCUGGCCCUCUUGAGCUAAGGGAUCCUAACCCUUUAAGUGUUGACCUCUCUGAUGAGGGGUGGGAAUCUGAGGGUCUGGAAUCUAACGAUUCUUGCCCCCUGAAUGUUGAUGGUGAUGAUGUGGGACAGCGCAAACCCAUGGAGUGUGCCCUCUCGAGCCCAAGAGCCAGUGAAGUCGAUCGGUGUGACCCUGAAGGCUCUGAGCGCAGUGGCUCUCCUCUAACAGACGUGGUGAAGUGCAGCUUAGCAGAGUCCAAACGUCAGGUUCGCAGACACUUUAGCUGUGAAGCAAAUAUGGCACUAAGCAUUGAGACUCCAGAUGCUACACCAGGGUGUCCUGAGCCCUUUUGCCCAGUAGGAAAUGACAGGAAUGGGUGGCAGUUUGAAGACUCUGAGGUCUGUGAUGAAAACCAUUUUAGUGUGGAAUCCAGUCAGAGAAUGAGGGGUUCAGUCGUUGCUCCAAAAUUUAGUGAUCAAGAAAUGAUCAGUCGUAACCUCAACAACAGCAGAAAUUGUGAUGGUUGUGUCUUUGAGCUUUGUCAUCACUACCCCACUGAUACUGAUACAGUGGACAUGUUGAGAACUAGCAGGGAGGGCACAGAAUUCAGGGACUGUGUCUCUAUAAAUUCUCAAGAAAACAAAACAGGAAACUGCAAUUCUGAAGAUUAUGAACUUGUGGAACAUGAUCCCUUCUGUCCAAUCAAUGAUGACAAAUAUGACACUGAUGGAGCUAGAAUAUAUAAUCAUAACCAUUAUAGUCCUGAUCACACUAGUUCAGGCAAGCAGGAAAACACUGAAACUCAGUAUCGGUAUCCUGACCCAUUCAGUCCUGAACAAAACGAUGACGUCCACUUUAACUUCAGUGGGUCGGAGGAUAUGGAACACAAUAUUUUAGUUCCCGUCUCUAUGAGUAUCACAAGUUGUGAUGCAGGGAGCUUUGAUUUAAAGACAGGUGACCCUUUUAGUCCUGACCCAGUUCACCCAAUAAGUAUUAAUGCUAACGGUCAACAGGUAACAAAUCUAGAUCCAUGUCAUCUUGAUCCUAAUAAUAUUUUCAGUUGUGAUUCAACAGGUUCAAAACAUGCAGAUUGUGAAUUGUUUAGCUCAGAACCCAAUGACAGACCUAGUUGUGCCUCUAAUGGCUGUGAGCUAAUGGACCCAGAAGCCCCCAGUUACCAAUACAGUGUUGAUUGUCCCAAAUCAGCCCAAAAUAAUUGUCAUAUUCCAGACUUCAAUAAUAUAACAGAUUGUGGCAACUUUAAUAGUGAAUCCGGGGAUAUUGUCUCCCAUAACUUAGAACCCAAAGAUAAGCUUAUUAUUAACCCUGAACCAUCCGAAUUUAGAUGCCUGAACUCGCUCAGUCCUGAACCUAACUCAGACUCUGAUGUCUGCCACCUGAGAGGAUAUGAUAGUGGUUGUUAUGACACUAGCAAGACAGUAAGAUGUGACUUGCGGCCACCAGAACUGAUGCAGUUUGAUCCCUUCAGCCCUGAGCCCAGUGACGCCGAGAUGUGUGACGUUGGCAGUGAAGGCAACCAUUGUUCUCAAUCUGCAUUCUUUGAAACAGCAUCUAACGGGCCAAGCCAAUUCAGUUCCUGGGGCUUAGAGCCCAGCAUGUUCAGUUCUGAACUAGUUGAAAGAUGUGAAUACACACCCACUGGAACUAGCUCUGACGACUCCGUAAAAGGUCACCCUUUUGAUUCAGAGUCCAGUGAAACUGCUGGUUGGAGCCUCUCAGAAUCUGAAACGAGUAGGCCGACAGAUCAAAACCCAGAAUAUGCCAGAGAGAAAACGAGCACCUGCUCUGACUUCUCUGAGCAAGAUGGCUGCUGUUCAGAGUUGAACAAAGUGGCACGUUCGAGUCGCCACAGUUCUGUGCCUGACAGCAUUGCCGAAAUGUUAUUCGGCCCUGAACUGAGCGCAGCCAGGUUUUAUCCCUGGGACUUUGAAAAUAGCAACACAAUUGUAUGUGACAACCAUAGUCCAGAGGAUAGUCCUGACACCCUCAGAUGUGAGUUCGGAUUAGUUUCAGGUUAUGACAUCAACAGCAGUGUUGCAGUUAACUCCGGAGCCUCUGAAGUUCCCAACCUAAGAUAG